GGUAGUUUUCAUAAAAGAUUUUCUUACUCUUUCACUUUAUUCAAAGCAUCACCCUAAAUGAUCACACUCCAGGAAUCAGCUCUGGGGAAACAACUUCCUCUAUUUUUUUAUUUUUUUUUUUUGAGACAGGGGGUUCUCUGGCUGGCCUAGAACUUGCUCUGUAGACCAGGCUGGCCACUUGCCUCCCUGGGAUUAAAGGCGUGCUCCACCACCGCCCUGUGACUCUGUCUGUGGAGAUUUGUUGCCAACAUUGAAAAGCUUGUCCAAGACUGACACUGCUCGGCAUAAAGAACCAACCAUUGGUGUUUGUCCUCAAGAAAGGGCAGUCUGUGCUUAGGACAGAGUUCUUCUUGAGGAGGAAGAAGUUCGGCGGCAAAGGAAAAGAGCAAACCAAACCGACUCACACUACAGUCCAAUGCACACCCAGUGUGCUUAACGACAGAGUCUGGAGACCCUGAGCCACCAAACGCCUUUCCCUUUCUGUAAAGGGGUAAAACGGUCUAUUUUAAAAAUCGAAUCAGCACAAGAGACAACACAGGGAAGAAAAAGGUGAGGCCAGGGGCAAAUUCCUAGGAGAGCUCUCUCAGGCAGGAGACGGGCAGCACAGUCCCAAACCCGUCUGCGUUCUUUUAAACAGAUACAGCUGGUGUAUGGAGUGAGCGCAAUGUGGGUGAGUGGAUCAUCUCCCCCAUUGUGUCUCUCCCACCACAGACAACAGGCUGUCCUCCACAGAUGCUGAUGAAUGACCUGAGCACAUUACAAAGAGGCGGUUUGGUUUCCAUGUUAUCAAGAAACCAGAAUGGACAGUAUCACGCUCUACAGACUGUAAGGUUCACGAAGCCAGGAGGAACCUUCUCUAGGUUCCAUCCCUAACCCAAUUAAAAUGAAUAGAAGUCCA